rnacentral:rRNA from 1 species
CCUACGGGUGGCAGCAGUCGAGAAUCAUUCACAAUGGGGGAAACCCUGAUGGUGCGACGCCGCGUGGGGGAAUGAAGGUCUUCGGAUUGUAAACCCCUGUCAUGUGGGAGCAAAUUAAAAAGAUCGUACCACAAGAGGAAGAGACGGCUAACUCUGUGCCAGCAGCCGCGGUAAUACAGAGGUCUCAAGCGUUGUUCGGAAUCACUGGGCGUAAGGCGUGCGUAGGCUGUUUCGUAAGUCGUGUGUGAAAGGCGCGGGCUCAACCCGCGGACGGCACAUGAUACUGCGAGACUAGAGUAAUGGAGGGGGAACCGGAAUUCUCGGUGUAGCAGUGAAAUGCGUAGAUAUCGAGAGGAACACUCGUGGCGAAGGCGGGUUCCUGGACAGUAACUGACGCUGAGGCACGAAGGCCAGGGGAGCGAAAGGGAUUAGAUACCCCUGUAGUC